CACAACGCGGUGGAAGGAACACCUUGCCGAGAGCUGCGCAGCAACAGAACGCGUAGACAUUUCCUUCUCUUGCUGAUUGAUUUGGAAUAGUCCCCCCCCCCUCCCUCAAAAGACGCACAACUGGAGAGGAGAAAGGUUGACACUCUUUUUGGGGAGGGCCGGGCAGCUCCUUCUUUUCCAGCUGUUUGGGAAUAUCCCGCUCACUCCCCGUCUUCAAGCCACACGGGGAGGAGUGGCUUCCUCCGUCUGCCUCCUGCCGGCUUGGCUCCCCCUGACACGGUGCUUUGGCUGGCGUGCGCACCCACCCGGGAUCUCUCCCUGAGGGAGGGGGGGCUUUCUGUUUUUUUGGGAGGACACUGUUGCAUGUGUUUGAGGAGACGAUCAUGCGCAAGGAGGGGUGGUUGUGCUGCCGCUGCUGGCAGGGGCGGUUGUGGGUGGGGGGUGUCGGGGGUGGACUGUCCGGGGCUGUUGCACAAGAUUUGCCCACCCACCCUUCUUAAAGGAUAAUGUGGACGAACGGGGAAGUUUGAACUCUCCUGCAGAGAGCCAGGCUACCAGACAGACAGUGGCUGCUGCAGCCCCCCCCCCCCCUUUCCUCUAUGAGCCUAAUGUGGAUGCUGCUGCAUGGACGUGACACCAACCUACCUGCAGAUCGACAGGCAGCAUCACCUUGACUCGAGCAUAGAGGAUAGGCGAGCAAGACAGUUGGACAGACAGACACAGGGAGGGAGGGGGGGGGGUGAGUGAGGGAAAGUGUGGACGAUGACUCAAGGCCAUGAACCACAUGGUGAUGGAGAAGGAAGGAAGGAAUAACUCAUCGUAGCAUGUGGGAUCUCAUACGGCUAUCACAGGACUGACUGCGUGUUUCCCCCACGGGCAUCAAGCACACCUCCUCCAUUGACAUCACUCUUCCAAACUAGGAAGUGACUAAAAGUAUCAAUUGUGGUGCCUUCCCCGUCACACAGGCAUCAUUCUAACUCUCUUCUUUGAGGCUCCUCGAGGCGUCACGCUUGUAAUCAUCGGAACAUAAAAGCGUUUUUAUCCUCCUUUUUCAAAAUGACUGUCACAUGACUCUCCCCCUCGUUCUCCUCAGGAAGUCAUGCUUGUGAAAACAAACUUAUUAUUUCUUAAACCCGAGAGAGAGCUGCUUGCUCGGGUACCGCUAACGCUUCCCUACCUGAGUGCGGUUGCGGAGACAGUCAGAUUAAAUAAAAAAAAAGUUAUUUGCAGUGUAAAUGCCUCGUUGGAACUCAACUUUAACUCUAGAGCGUACUUAUAAAACAGCUGUAAAAAAGCAUCGGAGAUAAACACUGAACAAAACCAGAAAUAAUAAUAAUAAUAAUGAUAAUAAUAACAACAAAAAUAAUAAUAACAAUAACAAUAAUAAUAAUAAUAAUGUCUCGAUAGAAAAUGAUCAUCAUUAUGUUCUUUUGUCGCAUUAAUUUUUUCAAAAGUCUGCAUCAGCAAAAUAAGUCCAGAACGGCCGACUGAACAGGUGAACAAGACACACCCACGAGCCUCUGUUUAACCAAGCUUCACAUUGUUAUCGGCCGUACAUUGACAGCCAUGCAACACUGGAGGUAGCGCUUGAAUGCAGCGCAAAUAAUGUAGACAAAGGCGAGAAGGUGAAGGAAAAAAAAAAGUGGAUAACGCCUUACCUUGAGAACCGGCAAGAACUCUCUGACCUACUCUUGCCCCAUCCGCCUCUUUGAUUUGCCUUUAUGGUAAUCUGUGAUAGAGAUAGUGACAUUUUAUUCGUGACAAGCAAACCUGGUGCUGGUUAGCACAAUUCUUUUUUUUUUUUGACAAUUCUAAAUAAGGAAAUAAAUGCUUAAAUGUGCUACAUGACCCGUUUGGAUGGGAUAAUAUAUUAUGAAAUUUGAUUAGUAUGUCUGGACAGAUUUGAAAUCACACCCUCACCAAAAAAGAUUGUGCUAAUCUUGGUGCUCAGGAAUUAUACUAUAAAGUAGCUUCGAUUAGACAAAUGCUUUGCCAUCAUCUUCUGGUAUUUUAGUGCCUUGCAAUUAUGUUGUGGAGUGUCGAUUAUACAAAAGUAGUGCUUUGCUGCCUUUUUGUGGCUUCUUAGUUGUUUCCAAGGAGCCACGGUGAAGGGAAUUGAGAAGCUUCUCUUGAAACAAACGCAGGACUAUGCUGACACCUAGUGUCAAGGAACUAUGUUGAACUGAGUUGAGGCGCUUCAUUAAAACACCAAUAGUGCUUUGCCGCCAUCGUAUGGCCCUUAUAGACAAUUAAAAAUAUUUCAGCAGGCUGCAAAUAAGAUUUUUGCUACUCGCAGCAAGCUCGUAACAAACCACUGCCUUGAGAUAUGAGUUCAAUUAGUUCCGUGGUGAUGCUCGUAACUCAAAAGACUCAUGGCAAACACUUUUUUUUUGUAUUGAAUUGAACUGCCCUAACCCAAAAACAGCGAUGUGUAAUGGUAAAGUGUCAAAUCUAUACAACAAUUUAAAUGGAAGGCAGCCAGUUGCAUGCAUGUGACCUUUGAAAAAGUGGUGUUGACACGUUGUUGCUAGUGUAAACAGCCUCGUACUGGGCCCCGCGGCAAACUGAAAGUCCCCGCACACACACGUCACAUGACUCUCGACAUCAAUUCCAGGAUCUGUUUACACAUCGACCUAUAUGGAAUGCCAUUGCGUCUUUCUGCACUAGUUGAGGUUCCAUCGGCUGCUCUUUGCUUCAUAUGAUGCGUAUUUGCAUUGUGUGAACGUAUUCCAGCAAAGUUGUGCCAAGCAUCCGCUGAGCCACUUUAGUUUCUCGCUGUUUUCCGCCCGUUUGGGGUCAAGCGUGCACGUUGGCACAGCGUGGCCAAACGCUGUCGAAAGGAUCAACUGCACACUUGUGUGUUGUGUAACGCCACGGGGAGUGUGUGCGCGCCUUGAUGUGUGUGUGUAGUGAGAGAGAAAGAAAAAAAAAAAAAA